GGCGGCAUAGCCAAGUGGUAAGGCAGAGGUCUGCAAAACCUUUAUCCCCAGUUCAAAUCUGGGUGCCGCCU
rfam:Desulfitobacterium hafniense Y51 DNA, complete genome.